UACCGUAUACCAUGACGUUUAGCCUUUUCACGUUGAUAAAAUGGCUAUAUCAACAAUAGUUCAAAUUGCCGAUGUCCAAAAUAAGCAUUUAGAUAAAUUUGAGAGAAAACGAAACGAAAAUAACAUCGUGAAACAAACAAAGUGGGCACUUAGCUGAUUCACUGACUGGUGUGUCGAGAAAGGGAUAUAUUGUGAGUUUGGGAAUACAAAAAAAAUGGAGCUGAACGUUAUUCUACGGGAGUUGUAUUUGUUCAGUGAGAAACACGAAUGCCGAAGAAUAUGGGAUUAGCAGCUAACGUUAUGCUGGACUCGGAGCUGGUUUGAACAUAUCAACGACCCCUUCUCGGCUUGGCAUGGAAUAUACAGAAGGACACCGAAUUCACAACGUGCAAUCAUGUGUCUGUCGGCGUAAUUAAAAAGUCGAGGGAAGAGCGGCGCGAUAAAGCUGAACGGCUACAUAUGGUACACAAAAGAGCCGAUGGCAGUACUAUUCUCUCUGACAACACAGCAGCAGCUGCCCCAGUUAAAUGAACGGCAUCCAUUCCCAGCAGCGUGGAGUCAACAAACGAACAACAUUGGCAAGCCAACAACAAACGAUAACACGGGACAUUUUUUUCUCUCUCACUUGUACACAAUAAAUGGCAACAUUCAGAUCAACAUGAAUAAAUAAUUGGCAUGUGUUAGUCACUCUAGAAGUAGCGCUAAUGCUCGUUUUUUCCCAUACAUUUAAUAUAAGCUUGCUAGGUAGUCUGUGGUUGUCUAGCAACGAGACUUUUGUCCAGACUACUUUUUCAUGGAGGAAUGUAUUUAAUAAUUAAAGCAACAUUUUCAAUGUAAUGUGUAGUUCCUUACCUUACUGUAUUGGCAACCGGUUUAUAAAAGCAAUAAGACACACCUGGGAUUAGUGGUAUAUGUCCAAUAUACCACGACUAAGGGCUGUAUCCAGGCACUCUGUUGGGUUGUGCUUAAGAACAGCCCUUAGCCAUGGUAUAUUGGCCAUAUUUGCUUCAAUUGCUUCAAUAUACCUCACAAUAAUCUCUCCUUCCACCUGAAGUGUGCACUACCCACAAAUGUAAAAGCAUUGGUGUUGGUAUGGGCUAGAUUCUCCUGGGGGGCGCAUUCGGUCUUCUGGACACAGGCAUAAUAAGAAACGGUCUGGAGGGCUGCACUGAAUGUGUUAUAGUUCCUCACUGUAAAAAUUGGCCCAAAAUAGUUCUAUUGUUUUUAGAAUUUCCGAUGCUCUCUGACUGUCUUGCUUUUAUUUCGAGGAUUUUUUGUGAACUGGACACAGUCAAUAAACUGUAUGGAUGCAGGUCCAUUAUCAAUUAAACUUCAACUCCCUCUGGUGA